rnacentral:snoRNA from 1 species
CUCCAUUGAUGACUUCCAUUUUGAGCAACCGGUCUGGGUCAAUGAUUUAAGAAACUGAUGAG